UUGACACUUCUGGGACGACUGGCGUGGACGCGCUCCCGUGACAAUUUCAGUUCAAGUAGCUGUAGUUUCCUCCGCAAUGCACUGGUUUCUUUUUGGCUUUGAGUAAUUUCCAAACGAAAGACUGCAUAGUCGUCGUCUACGAGUUUACAGACCUCUGCCACUGCGGCAUUCGCUAGAACCUCCAUAAUGGAGGCUAUUUCAGUGUGAAAAACCAUACAGUUAGCAGCCAUUGUUAACUAACCUAGUAGCGUUACCUAGAUAGCUAACCUCUUGACCAUCCAAGUCCUGUCUCCAACGAGGAUUAAAGACUACAUGGGUUGUUCUCAACACGUUUAACCAGGUGGAGUCAGGCUUCUACUCAGGAGUCAGAUGAUGCUGCUGUCCCACGGUAAGAACCUGGCGAUCUUCACUGAGGGAGGUGACGUGGCCACAGAGUGCCUGGUACUCGUUCCAGUGCUACCUGCCGACUGGAGAACAGCCAGGGGGUGGUCAAGACAACUUCAUCUUUAGUGAGUCAGCUCUGCUGCACCUGGGAGCUAAAAGAUGGCUCUGGAUGCUGAUGAAAUCUGACUGAAAUUAGACUGUAGUCAAUAAAACUUUCAAUGCCAAAUUGAAAUCAUUCAUGAUUCUGUAAUUGAUAGAAAAUGAUAGUUCCCAAUCAGACAAUUACUACAUAUCAAAUCUGUUUCUCAGUGCAAUGUUUAGUGAAUGCAUGGCAUCGUUUUUGCUGUGUGUACUGAUUCAGUUCUAAACGACCAUCAUCGAGUCCAUUCUCAACCUCCUUGAUCACUGCAACAAUUGGCCGGUCUGCUGAGGGUUAUUGGCUGCCACCUGCCCUACAUUGAGGUCUCGCAUGACUCCAGGGCAAGGAAGCGUGCAGAAAAGAUCAUUGCCAACCCCUUCCACCCUUUUCCAAACGAAUCAGGUCAGUCACGACCAAAACCCCCCUCCACCUGAACAGCUCCUUCCCCCGCGCCGUGGCCUUCACCAACCGGCCACCUGGUCCACCAUGAUUCUCUCAUCCAUGGACUUUGAACUCUGCCCUAUUCAUCCACAGACUAUGCACCCUGCACCAUUAGCCAGGAACUGCACAUUGCACAGCUCUUCCGUGCAUAAUUUAGCCAGGUCCCAUUAGAGUGAAAUCCAAACCAAAAAAGGUGCCAAGACUUUAAAGAGAGAAAUUGAGAGUGAAAAGUUAUUAUUGCUGGUGGACAAUUUGAUGCAUUCAAAUGUAUUUUUACAUGCUUGAAUCACGUUUCUUUGCUUACAGUUUGAUAUGUAUUAUUUAAGACAUUUUUCUGUGGCAAUUAUGUUCUGCUCGUAGGACUUGAAGUUAGCUGGAUACCCAAUAAGCUUGUUGUUGAGUGAGAACGUCUGCGAUUUAAAUACUUAGCAAAGAGCUGCAGUUAGUUUCAGAAUGGAAAGAAAGGAAUAGAUUAGUCCUAAAUAUUUCCAAAACUAAAAGCAUUGCAUCUGGGAAAAAUCCCUCACUAAUCCCUAAACACGUCUCGUAAUGAAUGUGGAAAUUGAGUAAAUUGUGGUGACUAAACUGCUUGGAGUAACCCUGGAUUGUAAACUGUCAUGGCCUAAACAUAUUGAUGCAACAGUAGAUAAGAUGGGGAGAUGUCCCUCCAUAAUAAAGUGCUGCUCUACCUUCUUAACAACACUAUCAACAAGGCAGGUACUACAGGCCCUAGUUUUGUCGCACGUAGACUACUGUUCAGUAGUGUGGUCACAGAGGGACUUGUAGG